AUUGAACGCUGGCGGCAUGCCUUAUACAUGCAAGUCGAACGGUAACAGGUUAAGCUGACGAGUGGCGAACGGGUGAGUAAUAUAUCGGAACGUGCCCAGUCGUGGGGGAUAACGUAGCGAAAGCUACGCUAAUACCGCAUACGAUCUACGGAUGAAAGCGGGGGAUCGCAAGACCUCGCGCGAUUGGAGCGGCCGAUAUCAGAUUAGGUUGUGGGUGAGGUAAAAGCUCACCAAGCCUGCGAUCUGUAGCAGGUCUGAGAGGACGACCAGCCACACUGGAACUGAGACACGGUCCAGACUCCUACGGGAGGCAGCAGUGGGGAAUUUUGGACAAUGGACGCAAGGCUGAUCCAGCAAUGCCGCGUGCAGGACGAAGGCCUUCGGGUUGUAAACUGCUUUUGUACUGAACGAAACGGUGAGCUCUAAUACAGUUUGCUAAUGACGGUACCGUAAGAAUAAGCACCGGCUAACUACGUGCCAGCAGCCGCCGUAA
rnacentral:rRNA from 1 species